rnacentral:rRNA from 1 species
AGAGUUGAUCAUGGCUCAGGAUGAACGCUAGCUACAGGCUUAACACAUGCAAGUCGAGGGGUAACAAGAGAAAAGCUUGCUUUCUUGUGACGACCGGCGCACGGGUGAGUAACGCGUAUCCAACCUGCCUAUAACUAGGGAAUAACCUUGCGAAAGUAAGACUAAUACCCUAUGAUUUCCUUUGAUGACAUCAGAUUAGGAAUAAAGAUUUAUCGGUUAUAGAUGGGGAUGCGUCUGAUUAGCUUGUUGGCGGGGUAACGGCCCACCAAGGCAACGAUCAGUAGGGGUUCUGAGAGGAAGGUCCCCCACAUUGGAACUGAGACACGGUCCAAACUCCUACGGGAGGCAGCAGUGAGGAAUAUUGGUCAAUGGGCGGAAGCCUGAACCAGCCAAGUAGCCGUGCAGGAUGACGGCCCUAUGGGUUGUAAACUGCUUUUAUACAGGAAUAAAGUUAGCCACGUGUGGUUAUUUGUAGGUACUGUAUGAAUAAGGACCGGCUAAUUCCGUGCCAGCCGCUGC